rnacentral:snoRNA from 2 species
GGGCAAUGAUGAUACAAAGUCAUGCACCACUCUGAAUAGAGGGGAUUGUUUUCUCUCUUUGGGCUGACAAAGAAACUUUCUACCCAUUUAUUCGUCUGAGCCU